rnacentral:rRNA from 1 species
ACGAAAGCUAGGGGAGCGAAAGGGAUUAGAUACCCCUGUAGUCCUAGCUGUAAACGAUGGACACUAGGUGUUGGCCGUAUCGACCCGGUCAGUAUCGAAGCAAACGCGUUAAGUGUCCCGCCUGGGGAGUACGCACGCAAGUGUGAAACUCAAAGGAAUUGACGGGGGCCCGCACAAGCGGUGGAGUAUGUGGUUUAAUUCGAUGCAACGCGAAGAACCUUACCAGGGAUUGACAUCCUACGAACUUUCGUGAAAGCGAUUGGUGCCUUCGGGAACGUAGAGACAGGUGGUGCAUGGCUGUCGUCAGCUCGUGUCGUGAGAUGUUGGGUUAAGUCCCGCAACGAGCGCAACCCUCGUCCUUAGUUGCCAUCAUUAAGUUGGGCACUUUAAGGAGACUGCCGGUGACAAACCGGAGGAAGGUGGGGAUGACGUCAAGUCAUCAUGCCCCUUACAUCCUGGGCUACACACGUACUACAAUGCAACGGACAAAGGGCAGCCAACUAGCGAUAGUGCGCAAAUCCCAUAAACCGUUGCUCAGUUCAGAUUGCAGGCUGCAACUCGCCUGCAUGAAGGCGGAAUCGCUAGUAAUCGCAGGUCAGCAUACUGCGGUGAAUACGUUCCCGGGCCUUGUACACACCGCCCGUCACACCAUGGAAGUUGGCCACGCCCGAAGUCGUUACCCCAACCGUUUACGGAGGGGGACGCCGAAGGCAGGGCUGAUGAUUGGGGUGAAGUCGUAACAAGGUAACC